GCUUUCUCCUCCCCUCUCAUGUCCGGUGGUCGCGAGGUGCUGGUUUUCUUCUUGGACAGCAAGCUGGAAAAUGCAGCCAAAGCGGCAGCACUGCUGAAGGGUCUGCGAGUAGAAAGGCCUUCAAGCUGCUCCUCCGCGGCUUCGAGUUCGUUCCAAAGAACUGAUGGGCAAGUGAAGCAAGCGGUAAUCGAGAGGUUCCCUUGCUCCAAUUCCACAAGGUCAAGCUUCCCAUACAUUUCCUUAAUAGUUUCCCACAUCGCUUUUGCAUCCUCCGUCGGAGGAAGUCCGGCGGCGACCUCGACUGUCGUGCAAUUCCAAAUCCACGUCCAUACCGAAUGGUUGCAUCUCCGCCAAUGACAUUGCAUGCCGUCAUCGGCCAGAAAUCCCUCGCCCAAGUCGAAGCUGAAGCGUGAUCAACCUCAAUUUCGGUCCGUUGGCCGGUGAAGUAUAAAGCAGAUCGCUAGGUUCUGAACGGCUGGGUUCUGCAUGUUGGAUGUAGCGUUGAAUUCCUUUUCGACGUGCUGAUUAUGUUUCGUAGGUAAUGAUUUGCAGUAACGAACCAGAAAACGAUCAAACGCAAUUAAAAAAAAAAAAAAAAAAAAAAUUGCAGAAGGUGGAUCAAGAGCAAGGCUCUGAUACCAUGACAAGAGAUGUAAAAGGGAUGAAGGGGAAUUUGUAUUAUUUACUUCUCAUUACUUCAA